GCAGGCUGCAGCAAUUAAUGGCUCUAAAAUAUUUAAAAUUCAUUGUACCUUUACCCCGACCGGGAGAAAAUAUGCUCAAUUCAAAAGGAAAACAAUCCAAACGACUUUUGACUGUCUACCAACUUCUGACAUUAUUUCUCGAGAUGAACAAAUACUAAGGAAGACAUACAGAGAACACAAUCGCAUCGUGCAAGAGAAAGCUCCAAAAGAUAGACUACUCGUUUUCAACCUUUCCGAUGGUUGGAAGCCGCUGUGCAAAUUUCUCGAAAAGGACAUUCCUGAUGUAUCAUUUCCUUAUUCUAACAAAGGAUCUCCUUUUGAAGAUCCUAGCGUUGCCCCUCUGCUCUUUCGAAGAUUGGAUCAAGAAUUGUAUUUUCUCAUUUCUUUCUUAGUUAUUAUCGUCGAUAUUAUUAUAGUUUUUCUGUUCUUUAAUA